AUUGAACGCUGGCGGCAGGCCUAACACAUGCAAGUCGAGCGGCAGCGGGAGGAAGCUUGCUUCCUCGCCGGCGAGCGGCGGACGGGUGAGUAAUGUCUGGGAAACUGCCCGAUGGAGGGGGAUAACUACUGGAAACGGUAGCUAAUACCGCAUAACGUCUACGGACCAAAGUGGGGGACCUUAGGGCCUCACACCAUCGGAUGUGCCCAGAUGGGAUUAGCUAGUAGGUGGGGUAAUGGCUCACCUAGGCGACGAUCCCUAGCUGGUCUGAGAGGAUGACCAGCCACACUGGAACUGAGACACGGUCCAGACUCCUACGGGAGGCAGCAGUGAGGAAUUUUCCGCAAUGGGCGAAAGCCUGACGGAGCAAUGCCGCGUGGAGGAAGACGGCCCGUGGGUUGUAAACUCCUUUUCUUGGAGAAGAACAACUGACGGUAUCCAAGGAAUAAGCAUCGGCUAACUCCGUGCCAGCAGCCGCAGUAACAC
rnacentral:rRNA from 1 species